AGGGCGCAAGGGGAAUGCCUUGGCACUGAGAGCCGACGAAGGACGCGACAAGCUGCGAUAAGCUACGGGGAGCCGCAAAUGGGCUUUGAUCCGUAGAUUUCCGAAUGGGGAAACCCGGCAGAGCAAUACUCUGUCAACGUACACUGAAUACAUAGGUGUACGUGGGGAACCGCCUGAACUGAAACAUCUAAGUAGGGCGAGGAAGAGAAAUCAACCGAGAUUCCGCUAGUAGUGGCGAGCGAACGCGGAAGAGGCCAAACCAAGAGUAGUAAUACUUUUGGGGUUUUGGACAGCGUACGGUAUUAACUGCGGUUAGUAGAAUGAAAUGGGAAGUUCAACCACAGAGCGUGAUAGUCGCGUACACGAAAACUAAAGUUAGCCAGCUGGAUCCAGAGUACCGCCGGACACGUGAAACCCGGUGGGAAGACGGGGGGACCACCCUCCAAGCCUAAAUACUCUCCAAUGACCGAUAGUGUAUAGUACUGUGAAGGAAAGGUGAAAAGAACCCCUGGCGGGGAGUGAAAUAGAACCUGAAACCUUGUGCCUACAAGCACAUAGAGCGCGUCAAUGCGUGAUAUGGUACCUUUUGUAGAAUGGUCCGGCGAGUGAAUGUCACUGGCAAGGUUAAGCUCUUCAGGAGUGCAGCCGAAGCGAAAGCGAGUCUGAAAUGGGCGUUUUAGUCAGUGGUAUUCGACCCGAAACCGGGUGACCUAGCCAUGAGCAGGCUGAAGUGGAGGUAAAACUCCAUGGAGGGCCGAACCCACUCCCGUUGAAAUGGUAGGGGAUGACUUGUGGCUAGCGGAGAAAUUCCAAUCGAACCCGGAGAUAGCUGGUUCUCUCCGAAAUAGCUUUAGGGCUAGCCUUGAAAUAGAUUACCGGAGGUAAAGCACUGAAUUGGCUAGGGGCCGAGAGGUUACUGAACCUUAUCAAACUAAGAAUGCCGGAUAAUCGUUUUUCAGGAGUCAGACAGUGGGAGAUAAGUUUCAUUGUCAAAAGGGAAACAGCCCAGACCCACAGCUAAGGUCCCCAAGUAUAGUUAAGUGGAAAAGGAUGUGGAAUUGCACAGACAACCAGGAUGUUGGCUUAGAAGCAGCCACUCAUUAAAAGAGUGCGUAAUAGCUCACUGGUCGAGUGACUCUGCGCCGAAAAUUUAACGGGGCUAAACUAUACACCGAAGCUUGGGAUACAUCUAAUGUAUGGUAGGAGAGCGUUCUGUAUGGGGAGAAGUCGUAGCGAAAGCGGCGGUGGACUAUACAGAAGUGAGAAUGCCGGAAUAAGUAGCGAGAAUUAAGUGAGAAUCUUAAUGGCCGAAAGUCUAAGGUUUUUGGAGGAAGGUUCGUCCGCUCCAAGUAAGUCGGGAGCUAAGGUCAGGCCGAAAGGCGUAGCCGAUGCACAUACGGUUGAUAUUCCGUAACCAUCUGUAAUUUAAGCAAAGGGACACUUCAAAAGGGUGUGACCCGGGCGUUGGUUGACCCGGGCGUAAGGGACCGAAAUUAGAGUAGGGAAGCACACUUAGCUGAAGGCGAGAAAAGCUUUGCGUAUAGAAGCAGAUGCCCGUACCGCAAACCGACACAGGUGGACAGGAAGAGAAUUCUAAGGCCAGCGGGAGAAGGGUAGUUAAGGAACUCGGCAAAUUGACUCCGUAACUUCGGAAUAAGGAGUGCUCGAAAGAGCCGCAGAGAAUAGGCCCAGGCGACUGUUUAGCAAAAACACAGGUCUCUGCCAAAUCGAAAGAUGAAGUAUAGGGGCUGACACCUGCCCGGUGCCGGAAGGUUAAGAGGAGGAGUGAGAGCUCCGAAUUGAAGCCCCGGUAAACGGCGGCCGUAACUAUAACGGUCCUAAGGUAGCGAAAUUCCUUGUCGGGUAAGUUCCGACCCGCACGAAUGGUGUAACGACUUGUGAGCUGUCUCAACAGGGGGCCCGGUGAAAUUGAAGUAUGGGUGAAGAUGCCCAUUACCCGCGACUGGACGGAAAGACCCCGUAGAGCUUUACUGCAGCCUGAUAUUGAGUUUCGGUAACUGAUGCACAGGAUAGGUGGGAGUCUGAGAGACAUGGGUUUCGGCUCAUGUGGAGACGGUGUUGGGAUACCACUCUUCGGUUACUGAAAUUCUAACAUAGCUCUGUGAAACCAGAGGAUGGACAGUGUCAGGUGGACAGUUUGACUGGGGCGGUCGCCUCCGAAAGAGUAACGGAGGCGCCCAAAGGUACCCUCAGAAUGGAUGGAAACCAUUCGAAGAGCGCAAAGGCAGAAGGGUGCCUGACUGCGAGAUUGACAAAUCGAGCAGAGACGAAAGUCGGGCUUAGUGAUCCGGCGGUAUUGAGUGGAAAAGCCGUCGCUUAACGGAUAAAAGCUACCUCGGGGAUAACAGGCUGAUCUCCCCCAAGAGUCCACAUCGACGGGGAGGUUUGGCACCUCGAUGUCGGCUCGUCGCAUCCUGGGGCUGGAGAAGGUCCCAAGGGUCCGGCUGUUCGCCGGUUAAAGCGGCACGCGAGCUGGGUUCAGAACGUCGCGAGACAGUUCGGUCCUCUAUCCUCUGUGGGCGUUGGAAAAUUGAGGGGUUCAGACCUUAGUACGAGAGGACCGGGUCUGACGCACCACUGGUGCAUCGGUUGUACUGUCAAGUGCAUGGCCGAGUAGCUAAGUGCGGACGGGAUAAGCGCUGAAAGCAUCUAAGCGCCAAGCCCUUCCCAAGAUGAGUUUUCCCUACAGGUUCGUGGAAGACCACCACGUUGAUAGGUCGCAGGUGUAAGUGCAGCAAUGUAUUGAGCCGAGCGAUACUAAUUACCAAUUGACUUCAUC
rnacentral:rRNA from 1 species